AGGAGGAACAACCCCAGUGGCGGGGCCAGCUCUGGAGCCCUGGAGUCAGCCCCCGCAGUAGCUCCAGAGCUCUCGGUCUGCAGGGCCUGGAGGCUCCGGGGCGGG
rnacentral:pre_miRNA from 1 species